rnacentral:rRNA from 1 species
AGCAGCCGCGGUAAUUCCAGCUCCAAUAGCGUAUAUUAAAGUUGUUGCAGUUAAAAAGCUCGUAGUUGAAUUUCGGGAUCAAUAUGUUGGUCGUGCCUUGGUACGUACUGGCAUUAUCGAUUCCUACCUUCUGAAGAACCUCGAUGUCAUUAAUUUGGUGUCUUGGGGAAUCAGGACUGUUACUUUGAAAAAUUAGAGUGUUUAAAGCAGGCUCGCGCUUGAAUACAUUAGCAUGGAAUAAUGAAAUAGGACGUUUGAUUCUAUUUUGUUGGUUUCUAGGAUCGACGUAAUGAUUAAUAGGGAUAGUUGGGGGCAUUAGUAUUCAAUUGUCAGAGGUGAAAUUCUUGGAUUUAUUGAAGACUAACUACUGCGAAAGCAUUUGCCAAGGAUGUUUUCAUUAAUCAAGAACGAAAGUUAGGGGAUCGAAGACGAUCAGAUACCGUCGUA